GGGUCAGUAGGUUGGUCGUGCCACCGGUACGUACUGGCCUCACUGAUUCCUCCUUCCUGAAGAACCGUAAUGCCAUUAAUUUGGUGUUGCGGGGAAACAGGACUGUUACUUUGAAAAAAUUAGAGUGUUUAAAGCAAGCUAACGCUCGAAUACAUUAGCAUGGAAUAAUGAAAUAGGACGAUCGAUCCUAUUUUGUUGGUUUCUAGGAUUGACGUA
rnacentral:rRNA from 1 species